AUCCUUUUGUGGUUUACAAACUUGAUGACUUUGUGUACAAGCUAAGGUAUGAGAUGUGCCUCCCUCAAAUUUUGUUAUGAAAUUGUUACCAUUAUCCCCUCUGACA